GUCUAUGGCCAUACCACCCUGAACGCACCCAGUCUUGUCUGAUCUCGGAAGCUAAGCAGGGUUGGGCCUGGUUAGUACUUGGAUGGGAGACCACCUGGAAUACCGCUAUAGGCU
ensembl:rRNA 5S_rRNA 5S ribosomal RNA